ACGGCUCAGUAACACGUAGCUAACCUGCCCUUAAGUCAAGGAUAACCUCGCGAAAGUGAGGGUAAACCUUGAUAGGAUAUGGUAACUGGAAUGUUCUAUAUCUAAAACGCAAGGCUUAAGGAUGGGGCUGCGGUUGAUUAGGUAGUUGUUGGUGUAAAAGACUAACAAGCCGAUGAUCAAUAAGGGCUCUUAGCGGAGUUGCCCUGAGAAGGAUUCUGAGACACUAAUCCUAGUUCUAAGGAAUGCAGCAGGCAUGAAUCUUUUGCAAUGCUCGUAAGAGUGACAGAGCGAGCCAGAGUGUUCUUUCAUUUGAAAGAACUUUUCUCUUGUGUAAAAAGCAAGAGGAAUAAGGACUGGGCAAGACUGGUGCCAGCCGCCGCGGUAAUCCCAGCAGUCCAAGUAGCAGCCACAAUUAUUGGGUCUAAAACAUUCGUAGCUUGUUUAGCAAGUUUCCUGUGAAAUGUUAUCUCUCAAGGGUAACCCGUGCGGGAAAUACUGCUAGGCUUGAGACCGGGAGACGCAAUGAGUACAGUUGAGGUAGUAGUAAAAUACUCUAAUCUCAACCGGACUAACAACGGCGAAGGCACGUUGCGAGAACGGAUCUGACGGUGAGGGAUGAAGGCUAGGGGCGCAAAACGGAUUAGAUACCCGUGUAGUCCUAGCUGUAAACACUGCGUACUAAACUCUGUGAUCUCUUCGGGAGAUUGCAGAGCUGUAGCGAAGGCGUAGAGUACGCUACCUGGGAAGUAUAGUCGCAAGACCGAAACUUAAAGGAAUUGGCGGGGGAGCAC
rnacentral:rRNA from 1 species